rnacentral:rRNA from 1 species
GACGAACGCUGGCGGCGUGCUUAACACAUGCAAGUCGAACGGAAAGGCCCUGCUUUUGUGGGGUGCUCGAGUGGCGAACGGGUGAGUAACACGUGAGUAACCUGCCCUUGACUUUGGGAUAACUUCAGGAAACUGGGGCUAAUACCGGAUAGGAGCUCCUGCUGCAUGGUGGGGGUUGGAAAGUUUCGGCGGUUGGGGAUGGACUCGCGGCUUAUCAGCUUGUUGGUGGGGUAGUGGCUUACCAAGGCUUUGACGGGUAGCCGGCCUGGGAGGGUGACCGGCCACAAUGGGACUGAGAGACGGCCCAGACGCCUACCGGAGGCAACAGUGGGGAAUAUUGCACAAUGGGCGGAAGCCUGAUGCAGCAACGCCGCGUGCGGGAUGACGGCCUUCGGGUUGUAAACCGCUUUCGCCUGUGACGAAGCGUGAGUGACGGUAAUGGGUAAAGAAGCACCGGCUAACUACGUG